rnacentral:lncRNA from 1 species
GCUAUGGGUCCUAUGUAAUUCCGGCUCACAGAUUGCAAUUCCUAUGGCUUCCAGUAGAUGUCAUCAGUCUUUAUUCAAUGUUUCAGGCUUGUUUUUUGAAAAACAAGCAAGAAUUUUGAGUUUUGGUGAAGAGAGCACCGGAACAAUAUCAGUCUUUCGGCGCACUUACUAAUUUUACUUUCCUAUUGAACAUACUACUUUCCGUAUGAAAUAUUAUUGUUUAUUUACAUUUUAGCGUACCUGAGGAUUAAAUAGAAACUUGUUUGACUUGUUUGGACAAAGUCUAGAAGUAUCUUUUUGGACUCCUUUGUCUGCAUGUUGAACGAGUGGAUUACUGAAAUCGAUGGCGCCAACUAAACAGACUUUUGGGGAUAAAAAUAAGGAUUUUAUCUAACAAAAUGACCAUUCAUGAUGUAGCUGGGAACCUUGGGAUUGCAAACAGAGGAGGAUUUUCAAAAAUGCACAAUUGAGAGCAUCCUGUCGGGCUGUAUCACCGCCUGGAACGGCAACUGCACUGCUCACAACCGCAGGUCUCUUCAGUGGGUGGUGAGGUCUGCACAACGCAUCACCGGGGGCAAACUACCUGUCCUCCAGGACAGCUACACCACCCGAUGUCACAGGAUGGCCAAAAAGAUCAUCAAGGACAACAACCACCCGAACCACUGCCUGUUCACCCCGCUACCCUCCAGAAGGCGAGACGGUAGCAACAAGAUGAAGCGCUGCGAUGUGUGUGGACCCAAGGACAGGAAGACACAGUACACAUUCAUCAAGUGCAAGAAAUACAUUUGCAUCACAAACACAGUAAAACUCUGUCCCUCAUGUGGUGUGUAGACCGGC